CAGUCGCCGCGGUAAUACGUAGGUGGCGAGCGUUGUCCGGAUUUAUUGGGCGUAAAGGGAGUGUAGGCGGUCUUUUAAGUCUGAUGUGAAAGCCCACGGCUCAACCGUGGAGGGUCAUUGGAAACUGGGAGACUUAGAGUGCAGAAGAGGAGAGUGGAAUUCCAUGUGUAGCGGUGAAAUGCGCAGAUAUAUGGAGGAACACCAGUGGCGAAGGCGACUCUCUGGUCUGUAACUGACGCUGAGGCGCGAAAGCGUGGGGAGCAAACAGGAUUAGAUACCCCGGUAGUCCCUGUCUCUUAUA
rnacentral:rRNA from 1 species